rnacentral:rRNA from 1 species
CAAAAACAUGUCCUGGGGGGUGAAAAUCCUAGGUCAGACCUGCUCUAUGUUGGUCAAUAAAUGGUCGCAGAUUUGUGCUAAGGUAGCAUAAUCAAUUGCCCUGUAAUUUAGGGAUGGUAUGAAUGGUUCGACGAAGGUCAGACUGUCUCUUUUGUGGUUACCCAAAAUUUAGCUUUUGGUAAAAACGCCUGAGUGAAAAGGAGGGACGAUAAGACCCUAAGAUCUUGGUUCCAACAUCUUCAAUUGGGAAAGUUGGGGUUUACUUGGGAUGAGGAGUGUACAGAAACUACCUUUACAUAAAGGAGUAACAAUUCGAAUUUGUGAAACUUCAUUGGUGACGUAGGUCAAAGUUACCUUAGGGAUAACAGGGAUAUUCUAUCUAGGGAGGACGUAUUUCUAGAAAGGGUUUCCACCUCGAUGUUGAAUUAAAGUACCACUUUGGUGGAGAUGCUAAGGUAGUUGGAUUGUUCAUCCAUUUAAACUUUACGUGAUCUGA